GAUGAACGCUGGCUACAGGCUUAACACAUGCAAGUCGAGGGGAAACGACGGGGAAGCUUGCUUCCCCGGGCGUCGACCGGCGCACGGGUGAGUAACGCGUAUCCAACCUGCCUCUGACUGAGGGAUAACCCGUCGAAAGUCGGCCUAAUACCUCAUGGCAUCGUCUGCGGGCAUCCAACGACGAUUAAAGAUUUCAUCGGUCAGGGAUGGGGAUGCGUCUGAUUAGCUUGUUGGCGGGGUAACGGCCCACCAAGGCUACGAUCAGUAGGGGUUCUGAGAGGAAGGUCCCCCACAUUGGAACUGAGACACGGUCCAAACUCCUACGGGAGGCAGCAGUGAGGAAGAUUGGUCAAUGGGCGGGAGCCUGAACCAGCCAAGUAGCGUGCAGGAUGACGGCCCUAUGGGUUGUAAACUGCUUUUAUGCGGGGAUAAAGUGAGGGACGUGUCCUUCAUUGCAGGUACCGCAUGAAUAAGGACCGGCUAAUUCCGUG
rnacentral:rRNA from 1 species